GAUGAACGCUGGCGGCGUGCCUAAUACAUGCAAGUCGAGCGAACAGACGAGGAGCUUGCUCCUCUGACGUUAGCGGCGGACGGGUGAGUAACACGUGGAUAACCUACCUAUAAGACUGGGAUAACUUCGGGAAACCGGAGCUAAUACCGGAUAAUAUAUUGAACCGCAUGGUUCAAUAGUGAAAGACGGUUUUGCUGUCACUUAUAGAUGGAUCCGCGCCGCAUUAGCUAGUUGGUAAGGUAACGGCUUACCAAGGCAACGAUGCGUAGCCGACCUGAGAGGGUGAUCGGCCACACGGGAACUGAGACACGGUCCAGACGCCUACGGGAGGCAGCAGUAGGGAAUCUGCCGCAAUGGGCGAAAGCCUGACGGAGCAACGCCGCGUGAGUGAUGAAGGUCUUCGGAUCGUAAAACUCUGUUAUUAGGGAAGAACAAAUGUGUAAGUAACUAUGCACGUCUUGACGGUACCUAAUCAGAAAGCCACGGCUAACUACGUG
rnacentral:rRNA from 1 species